UACGGAGGGUGCAAGCGUUAUCCGGAUUCACUGGGUUUAAAGGGUGCGUAGGUGGGCAGGUAAGUCAGUGGUGAAAUCUCCGGGCUUAACCCGGAAACUGCCAUUGAUACUAUCUGUCUUGAAUACCGUGGAGGUGAGCGGAAUAUGUCAUGUAGCGGUGAAAUGCUUAGAUAUGACAUAGAACACCAAUUGCGAAGGCAGCUCACUACACGAAUAUUGACACUGAGGCACGAAAGCGUGGGGAGCAAACGGG
rnacentral:rRNA from 1 species